CCUACGGGUGGCAGCAGUGAGGAAUAUUGGUCAAUGGGCGCGAGCCUGAACCAGCCAAGCCGCGUGAAGGAUGACUGCCCUACGGGUUGUAAACUUCUUUUGUCGAGGAAUAAAGUGAGGCACGUGUGCCCUUUUGUAUGUACUUUAUGAAUAAGCAUCGGCUAACUCCGUGCCAGCAGCCGCGGUAAUACGGAGGAUCCGAGCGUUAGCCGGAUUUAUUUGGGUUAAAGGGAGCGUAGAUGGGUUGUUAAGUCAGUUGUGAAAGUUUGGGGCUCAACCGUAAAAUUGCAAUUGAUACUGGCAGUCUAGAGUACAGUUGAGGUAGGCGGAAUUCGUGGUGUAGCGGUGAAAUGCGUAGAUAUCACGAAGAACUCCGAUUGCGAAGGCAGCUUACUAAAC
rnacentral:rRNA from 1 species